rnacentral:rRNA from 1 species
GACAGCAGCCAUAUCACUCUGCAACUCACAACUGGCAACCCCCUGAAGCUAAGCAGGUGUGAGCCUAGUCAGUACCUGGAAGGCAGACCUCCUGGGAAAAACUAAGGUUCUUGCUGGAA